rnacentral:rRNA from 1 species
CCUACGGGGGGCAGCAGUGGGGGAUAUUGCACAAUGGGGGCAACCCUGAUGCAGCGACGCCGCGUGUGGGAAGACGGUCCUCUGGAUUGUAAACCACUGUCCCCAGGGACGAAAAUGACGGUACCUGGGGAGGAAGCUCCGACAAACUACGUGCCAGCAGCCGCGGUAAUACGCAGGGAGCGAGCGUUGUCCGGAAUUACUGGGUGAAAAGGGAUCGUAGGCGGGGAUGCAGGUUGGGUGGCAAAACUACCGGCUAAACUGGUAGUCGCACUCGAAACUGCAGCUAUUGAGUUAAGUAGAGGCAGGCGGAAUGCCUAGUGUAGCGGGGAAAUGCGUAGAUAUUAGGAGGAACACCAGUGGCGAAGGCGGCCUGCUGGGCUUUUACUGACGCUGAGGCUCGAAAGUGUGGGGAGCAAACAGGAUUAGAUACCCUAGUAGUC